rnacentral:rRNA from 1 species
AGUGAACGCUGGCGGUAGGCCUAACACAUGCAAGUCGAACGGCAGCACAGUAAGAGCUUGCUCUUACGGGUGGCGAGUGGCGGACGGGUGAGGAAUACAUCGGAAUCUACUUUUUCGUGGGGGAUAACGUAGGGAAACUUACGCUAAUACCGCAUACGACCUACGGGUGAAAGCAGGGGAUCUUCGGACCUUGCGCGAUUGAAUGAGCCGAUGUCGGAUUAGCUAGUUGGCGGGGUAAAGGCCCACCAAGGCGACGAUCCGUAGCUGGUCUGAGAGGAUGAUCAGCGACACUGGAACUGAGACACGGUCCAGACUCCUACGGGAGGCAGCAGUGGGGAAUAUUGGACAAUGGGCGCAAGCCUGAUCCAGCCAUACCGCGUGGGUGAAGAAGGCCUUCGGGUUGUAGAGCCCUUUUGUUGGGAAAGAAAAGCAGCAGGUUAAUACCCCGCUGUUCUGACGGUACCCAAAGAAUAAGCACCGGCUAACUUCGUG